AAAAAAACAUAGUUACUGCAGCUACAUGAAUUCCUUUUAGCUAUUACUUUUAAAAAACACGGUCUGAAGUGUGUAUGACUUUGAAGCAUCACGAAGAGGGAAAAAAGCUUUCCAGACCUUUCCAGGAGCCUAGUUUUAAAUGUCCCAGCUGGAACCAGUUCCUGAUUUUGCAGGAUUUUUGCAAAACUUAGUGGUCCAACACUUGCCCUUCAGUUGUAAUGACACUCAAUUGAGUAGGAUUUCCAAGGUCUUCAAGGACAUGCUGAACUACGCAGGUGCAAACACUCAUGGUGAUGAACACUCAAGUCAAACAGUCACCUGUAUUUUUCCCUGCCUUCUCUAGAUGUGAAAUUUUUAAGACAGCUACAGCUAUGACAAGUAUUCAAAAUACAUCAAUAAGACACCAAACUGUCUCAAAACUGAUUUCAGAGAAGACAUCACACACAAUUAUUCUCUUCUUUGCCUUAUGGCAUUUUAAUCUUUUGCCUGACUUGCAUCAUCUUUUUAAAACUUGCCCUGCAACCAGACGGGUCACAAACUUCCCUUAAAAAGGGGGAAAUUUCACCUAAUUUGGUAUCCAAAUGGACUUUCAGGAUCUAUGAAUGAAAGCUGGCAUUAGGUUGCUGGCCACACAGUGAAAGGAAGCAAAUCAACCCUGUGACAGCUCCAAACCCACUAACCUGGAGCUCAGGAGGGAUGAAAUGGAAAGGCAGUCCUUCUCCUGCUGUGAUCAGGACUGUGAUCAGCACAGUGAUUAUGGCCACAAAGCAGAGCACUGACGAGCUGGGACAACCCAAGAGAACAACAAGCUGUGCUGGGCUCAGCUUGAAAACCCCAACCCCAGCUGUUGACAAGGCUUCAGAGCUCUUCACAGGACUGGAAAUGCAAAAUGAACUUCCAUGAGACCUGCCCCAUGCAUUUCUUCCUAACAUGACCAUGACAUAACCCAUCAGCCUCAAGGAAUUGCUUUACCAGAGGCGAGGGACUCAUCCACCUGCAAAUGUAGAGCCUCAAAAAUAAAUCUCCUUAAUGGGAGAGGCUGUCCUACAAAGCAGCUGACAAAUCUGUCCCGUCUGUGCUUUUUGUGUGGCGCUACAAAAUUAGCAAGUUGUUAUUCAAUGAACAUGAAAUUACUGAAGAACAGAAACUAAAGUGCCGUGAAUAGCGCUGUGCUUUCUGACACCACAAAGAGGGGGCUGUUCUGCUGGGAGGUGCCAGGCCGGGGAACACGGCUUUCCUUUGUUCGUGGUUUUGCUUCAGGGACAGCGGCAGCUGAUGUCCCCAGGCAGCCACAUGUUCAUCAUCUGCUCUUGAGAACAGUGUUUUAGUGCCCUGUGGCAGUGUUUUAGUGCCUUGUUUGGGACAUCUGGCUCCAAAUGCAG